UCGAAGCUUCCUGUAGGGUAGGUUCCCUUGAUUCACGCCAAAAUUGUUCAUGAAAUUCCCUGUACCAACGAGAAACAAGGGAGUUGGACACAAAAUUGUGACUACUUGAGAAAUAGUUUGUUGAGAACUUACAGCAUGUACGGCUCCACUUCGGAUAGGUUGGUCAACACAUAUAGCAUAAUAGUGCGCCAGUCUUCAUGUUUCAAG
rnacentral:lncRNA from 1 species